rnacentral:rRNA from 1 species
CAAGCGGUGGAGCAUGUGGUUUAAUUCGAUGCAACGCGAAGAACCUUACCUACUCUUGACAUCCACGGAAUUCGGCAGAGAUGCCUUAGUGCCUUCGGGAACCGUGAGACAGGUGCUGCAUGGCUGUCGUCAGCUCGUGUUGUGAAAUGUUGGGUUAAGUCCCGCAACGAGCGCAACCCUUAUCCUUUGUUGCCAGCGAUACGGUCGGGGACUCAAAGGAGACUGCCGGUGAUAAACCGGAGGAAGGUGGGGAUGACGUCAAGUCAUCAUGGCCCUUACGAGUAGGGCUACACACGUGCUACAAUGGCGCAUACAAAGAGAAGCGACCUCGCGAGAGCAAGCGGACCUCAGAAAGUGCGUCGUAGUCCGGAUCGGAGUCUGCAACUCGACUCCGUGAAGUCGGAAUCGCUAGUAAUCGUGGAUCAGAAUGCCACGGUGAAUACGUUCCCGGGCCUUGUACACACC